rnacentral:rRNA from 1 species
UACGUAGGGACCAAGCGUUGUCCGGAAUCAUUGGGCGUAAAGCGCGCGUAGGCGGCCAUUUAAGUCCGAUGUGAAAGUCAGAGGCUCAACCUUUGAAAGCCGGUGGAUACUGGAUGGCUAGAGUACGGAAGAGGCGAGUGGAAUUCCUGGUGUAGCGGUGGAAUGCGCAGAUAUCAGGAGGAACACCAAUAGCGAAGGCAGCUCGCUGGGACGUUACUGACACUAAGGCGCGAAAGCGUGGGGAGCGAACAGG